AUAAUUAACAACGUUGCGAUUUUACGUUAUGUUUCUAUCAUUCGGGUUUGGCGGUUUGCAAUCAAUUGGUAUUUUCUGUAUGCGUCUCAGAGCUUGGUCAGUUUUCUUUGGCUGCAGAGUUUGUUUUGCUCUCUGUACGUGUCAUAUUGGGUUAGUUGAACUUGUUUUGAUGCUUGUAUGCUAGAAGAAUCAAAAGCCUUCUAUCUGUAGAAAGACUUUCUUGGGACUGUUGGUAAUUGAAAGACUCAUAAUUCGCUUAUAUGGAGGGCUGUCGUAUGACCAUUAUGUGGAGAUAGUAUAUGUGGCUAUUAUUUUGUUCUAACUAAGGACUGGCCUAGACCUAAGGGCUGCUCUUUGCUUAGUUUUCUUUUGUUCAUCACGCCAUGCUUGACGUUUCUUUGAGUAAGGAGUGAAACUUGGGAUAGAAUUAAAUAUGGAAAAUUGGUUCCCAAUUAUAAGGCUUCAUCACUUUUAUGAUGGAGAUUUGUCAGCUUGAGAGGAAGAGGGGAUUUUCUCGUGUCUGAGGACUUGGCAAUGGUAACCGGGCAUUUGUUGAUUGAUUGAAUUAAAUAUGGAAAGUUGGUACAGUGCAUUGUUGGACCUUGGACGAGGUUGUCUGUUCUCUUAUGCAUCACAUUUUGGUCAGCUUCAUUGAUUGUUGUGAUUCUAAAUUUAAAUUAUCUCUACGGGUAAUUGUUUCAAUAUCCUAUCUUUUAUCUGAUCUCAGAAUUGUUUCCUUAUUUUUCUUGUAUAAUUUUAGCAUAAAAAAGUAUAGGGGGUUUCUCCAUUGGUUGCUGUUGGGCUAGCUCUUAAUUGUUAAGAAAUAAAAAAUCUGACAAGUUAGGUUUUGGUCUUGACGUCAAGUUAGUUUUUUGCACCAUACUUGCUCGAACAAUUCUUCUUUUCCUUUGGUUAUCAUCAUUGUUCUAUUCGCAUGUCUAGUUCCUUAUUCUUCUUCUUGUUGGGGCUUCUUAUAAAAACAAACCUUUCCAUGGGGUUGACCUUGAUCUUUUAUGCACAUUAUUAUCCUUUGCUAUUGUUCAACUUGUUGGACGGGUAAUAUGUUCGGGUUUUGAGUCUUGAGUAUUUCUUCUUGAUGAUCAUAGGUGAUUAGUCAAUGUAUUAGGACUGGUCACAGUUUAAUCAUGUUUCGAUUCGUGUUUCAAGGUGUACGUCAUGUAGAGGACCUUCUUCUGGAUUUCAGUAGGCCAGUGAGCAUUUGGUUUGGACCUGAUUCCUCGUCUUCGUUUUAAUUGAACGAUCUUUUGUUGUUCUUUUGUCUAUUGUUCUCUCCCUCUGUUUUCCACUAAGGUACAGUCUGAGUUGUUAUGGAUGCACUCGUUGGAUUUAAGGUGAAACGGGUGCGAGUUUCUUUUCUUUGGUGCAGAUGGUUCUUAGUUUAUUUGGUAUACUGGGAUUAGAGGCUUGUUUUAGAUGUUCAUCUCCUGGAUAAUCCAGAACCUUCGCUUACAUUCAAUCCUUUGGACUGUUGUUACUCCAAAAGUAUGAGCUGCUGUUAUUUUGGUGCUUAUGCUCUUCAAUCACAACUGAGGUGCUGUUCUGGAUUGCUAAAUUGAUGCUCGUGCUUCUUCUUUUCCUUUUCUCGCCGACUCUUUAUCACACUGAUUUUUUUUUUUUAUUAAGGAGUAGGGUGCAUGAUGAACGUUGGAUGAUUGGUAAUGGUAAUUCGCAUCCAGUUGUGCAAAUCUUGUCUCCUGAAAGGAAACACAGGGACUCUCCCUCUCGUGUCUUUUAUAUGUUUGAUGAUGAUUUCGUGGGGGGUAAGAUGAGGUAAUUGAGUCCUUACUUCUGUGCUUGCAGUUGCAGAAAGUAAAAUUUGUGACGGUGCAUUUCCUGUUUUGGUAGGGCCUUGUGGUUGAUUCAUCAGGUUUUUUCUUUUUGUCAUUUGCAUCAUGUUUAUAUUGUCAACUUGCUGAUUGUUUUGGGGUUUUCAAUUGAAUUCUCUCUACUGACAACUUUUUUCAACUUCCUAUUUCUUACCUGACCAUGAAAUUGUUUUCCUGAUUUCUUUUUUCCACUAUAUUCUUGCAGUGUAGUGGUUGUUCCAUUUGCAUAAUGAGUUAACCACUUCUUUUUUGAUGGUCUAUGUUGGCGAAGAUUAUCACUUAAUUGCUUAAGAUAUGAUUAGGGUGUUUUUGGUUUAGUCUUUCUGUUCCUCUGCAGUGUCUGCUUCUUCAUCUGCAAGUUUGCUUGUUGCUGGGCAUUACAUUAACCAAAAAAAAAUCUUACUGAUUGAGGCCAAAAAUUAAUGUUGAAGUCAUCAUGUCUUGGUGUGAGUUAGGGUUGUCGAUGUCGAGUUGGUUCUAGCAGGGAAAACUUGAGGGGGAAUUGGGAUUGGUGAAGCUCCUUCACUUAUUGCUCGAUCCGGAACCUAUUGGGAUAGCACCUUUUCCUCCUAUUAGCACGUCUUCUUGCCCAUUCAGUUCCUCUACUGGUAGUUGUUGUCUAGUUGUAGUUUUGAGUUAGAACUUAAGGCUGACCUCUUUCCCAGGGAUAACCCACUUUCAGGUCUAGCUUCACUAACUGUAUUCUCAUUUUUUUCAGAUGUCUAGUUUAUUAUGUGGUCACUGAUUAUUAUGUUCAAUCUGUUGCUGUAGUGGAUCCGUCUGGAUUAGAAGAUUCAACGAUGCCUCCAGGUUCUUCGAAUGUGUUCCUCUUUGUAAGAGGGUUGAGUCGUGAUUAUUUCUGCGUGUUUUGAUGGAAAUAGAUGUUAGUGUGUGACAGAGUCAUGCGAUCAUUUUUGUGCCUUGAUGGUCGUGGAAUUGUGUGCAACAGUAUUGGUACAGCUUCAUCAUGUCUGUGAUUUCUAUUUCGAUGAAUUACCAUGGUUGGGGAAUUGGAGAUCUUGCAUAUUUUCAAUUCAUCUGAUAUCUUGUUGUAAUUUUCAAUGGUGCACUCUUUUGGGAAGUUCUAGUAAGCCCGUUGAGUGAUUGGCUUGGCUGAUUUUUUUUUUUUUUUUUUUUUUUUUUUUUUUUGUUCUCGCCCUGGAUUUUCUUAACUAGGUGCGGUUCGAGGUUUUAUGGCAUUGCAGGUGGCAUCUUGGAUUUAGAUGGAUGGGUAAAGCGAGUAUUCUUGAUGAAGUAAGCAUUUUCAUUAUAAGCAUCUAGAGGAAGAGGAAGCAAGGCAAGUCUGUUCUCUUAUGUGUAGAGGAUGGGGCUAAGCAAGAAAAAUCUGUUAUUCUUUGCUUUUAUUUGCUGUAGUGGGAAUAAAACCUCUCUGCAAGUCUUCACAUCAGAUUGAAUAUUCUCUAGAUGUUGAAGCUUUACCCAGCCUUAUUGUAAUUUGAGGUUGCUUACUUGGGCGCUUUUAAUUCUUAUAUUAAUAGUGCGGUCUGUGGUUAUCCGAUUCCAGAAGCUCUUCGAAUUUCAAUUGGUGCAUUUAUCGUUCUGGAAUCUGCAAACAUAAUAAUAUUGAAUUUUGCUUCCCGGAUGAACACGAUAAGCAUUUCUACUUUGUUUUUUCUUUUGUUUAUCAAUGAUUGAUUUUCUUGAAGGAGUGGAAUAGGGCAGUGAUCACUGUGGUAGUAAAAUUACAUAUUGAAUUUUGUCUUCAGUUGCGAGGCUCUCAGCACUGUUCUUUCAAGGUCGUUUGGUGCUCCUGUCAUGCAGAUUAUCAGCUUCUAGAAUAGGGUGGUUCUCUCCCUCUCUCUGUCUUGCUCUUCAUAUCUGAUUAUUUUUUAGGGUGAGACGGGGUUUCACCGAAUUACGCACUCAUUACUGAGGCUUGAUUUCUGUGCUUGCAGUCGAAGAAACUUAUAUGUAAAGAUGGUUUCCCACUUUUUGUUUUUUGGUUAAACAAAAGUAUGAGCUGCUCUUAUUUUGUCGAGAUGCUUAUGUUCUUUGAUCCCCAUGCAUGAAGUUGUGGGUGACUGCGGAGGAUUGCUAAUGUCUAAUUGAGCUGCUUUAAUCCGUGAGAUUGUGGUACUGCUACUUUUGCUUGUGUUCCUUUGUCUAUCACUCUUAGAUUGAUUUUAAGCUACGAGUAAAACACAUGGAAAGUUGAGUGGAUGUUAUUGGAUGUGGAUAAUGCACCUCUAGUUACAAGCUAUGUUACUCGGACUCUUCAAAAAUAUCGAUGAGUGCGUGUCGGAUCCUCCAAAAGUAGUGUAUUUUUGGAGGAUCCGACACGGGUGCGGCAGCAUUUUUGGAGAGUCCGAGCAACUUAGGUUACAAGUUCACAGAUUAUCAUACAUAAUUACAGAUCCUGUCAGUUGGAAGGAGAGAGGGUGGUGGGUUUUCUGUGUGUUUGAUUCCACACCUGGGUUGGGCUAUUGGACUUUAUUCUUGGUGUUUGCAGGGGGAAUUUAAAUAUGCGAUGAUACUAGUCUUGAUUUGGUGGGCCCUUCUGGUUGAUUGUUGAAGUUUUUCCUAUUUUCUUGUGUGCAUGAUAUUUUUUUGUCAACUUCGUUAACUCUCGAGAUUUUCCACUUCAGUAGCUGUACUUACUCUCUUUUUGGUUUCCGAUGCCCUCAAAAAUAUCCUUUUUCCUUGGUCUUUUUUUCUAGUAUUCUUUUGCUGUUUUUUUUUUUUUUUUAAUCAUCUAGGGGUGAGGAGGAGGUUGUUCCAUUUGCAUGAUGUUAACAAUUUCUAGUUUGGUGGUUUAUGUGAAAGUCUAGACAAUCACUUUUUAUAUGCUAUUAGGGUGUUUCUUAAGCUUUUUUUUUUUUGUUCCUUAGUGAUAAUGUUCUCUUCGUCAUUCAAGUGUUGCUGGGCAGAUACAUCAAAGAAAGUCACAAUUGCUGAUUUGAAAAAAGGAACAAUUUAGAGUCUUAUCUGUUUUUGACAAUUUUGGAAGUCUCAUCUGUUGGUAUGACUUAGGGUUGUCAAUUUAAAGAUGGUAAUUGGUAGCACUUGCAAGGAUAUCUUUGGUUGCCCUGGUUGUGGCUCUGAGAUUAACAUUUUGUUUUCCUUCAGUGUGUAGUUUGUUAUGUCUUCCUUCUAGGGGGUUGUGAUGUGAUUUCUCCUCUGCAUUUUGGGAUAAUGUUGCUCGGACUCUUCAAAAAUGUCGAUGGGUGUGUGUCGGAUCCUCCAAAAAUAGUGCAUUUUUGGAGGAUCCGACAUGGGUACGGCAACAAUUUUGGAGAGUCCGAGCAACUUAGGAUAUGAGUUACACAUUUGCAAUUGAUCAGUUGGUUUAGUGGAAUCGUUUGGGAACAGGAGACUUACUCAGGUGGUUGGAAGUGAAUAAGUGUUAAUUUUGGUCUAGUCUUGUGAUUAUUUCUGUUCUGCUUGAUAAUUAUAGAUAUGAUUGGUGAAGGUAUGGAAUUGGGCACGGCUUACUCGCAUUUGGACUUCUUUUUGGGGUCCGUCAUGGAUGUGAUUUGUGAUUAUUUCUGUUCUGCUUGAUAACUGUAGAUAUGCUUGGUGAAGAUAUGAAAUUUGGCACGGCUUGAUCCCAUUUGGAUUUCUUGUUGGGGUCCGUCCGGAUGAUGAUUCAGACCUCUUGUGGUAAAUUUAGUUCAUAUGUUCUCUGGUUGUUAUGAUUUGGGGAAGUAUUAUGUUUUGGAAAUUUGAGCAAUGCACCGGAUCUUUGGUUUACUCGCAUUUGGACUUCUUUUUGGGGUCCGUCAUGGAUGUGAAUUGGGCACGGCUUACUCGCAUUUGGACUUCUUUUUGGGGUCCGUCAUGGAUGUGAUUUGUGAUUAUUUCUGUUCUGCUUGAUAACUGUAGAUAUGCUUGGUGAAGAUAUGAAAUUUGGCACGGCUUGAUCCCAUUUGGAUUUCUUGUUGGGGUCCGUCCGGAUGAUGAUUCAGACCUCUUGUGGUAAAUUUAGUUCAUAUGUUCUCUGGUUGUUAUGAUUUGGGGAAGUAUUAUGUUUUGGAAAUUUGAGCAAUGCACCGGAUCUUUGGUUUGGAUCUGCUUAGCCGUCUUUUUUUUUUUUUUUUUUUAAAAUCUACCAAGAUUGAUUUUACUAUUUCUCUCUCCUAUGGGUUUUUCUACCCUGAUGUGUCUGAGUUGUUAUGGAUGCAUGGGUGGGUGUCUCGAAUUUCGAAUGCAGUUGUUCUUGUCUGUUUUAUUUGGUGUGGAUUUCUUGUGCUCUGCUAUAAUGGAAUCUUUCAAUGAGUCCAGAGGUUCAAGAUUUAUUGGAGCUUCCCCCAAGACUGAUUUGUUUGGAGGUAUCCCAAUUGUGUUCCAAUCGUAUGUGCUGCUUUACUUUCCUCCAGAGUUCUCUUCAAGUUCAUUUGAGCUUUUAUGACUUUGUAGUUGCUGAAGUUAGAUGUGAUUAUGCACCUCCUACUUUUAGUCUUUCUGUUGUUUAUCACGGCUUAUUUUUGAUGAAUAGAUCACACGUGAGUCUAAUGAAGUUUGUUACUGCAGUUUGUCUUCGGUUAUAACGAGUCUGUUCUUUCAAGGUGCUUUUGGUUCUCCAUUAUGGUGUAGAUCUUGUCAGCAACUACAAAAUUGGGCGAUUCUCUCUUUGGUCUCUUUAUGUUAUAAUAUCCUAGAUGGCAUCAUAGGGGGCAACUGUGCUCCCAUUAUGGUCAGAUCUUGUCAGCUUCUAGGAUAAAAGGUUUCUCUCUUUGGUCUCUUUACGUUUGAUGAUUUUCUGGUUGAUAAGGUUGUGCAAACUGCAGUAUCCAUAGUUGCGCCAUGUCUUGAGUUCACCAUUUCUUCCUCCUACCGAGAUUUCCCUGUUAUGUUUUUCUCUCUCCUUGCAGGAUAUGCAUUACCCAGUUUGUAGUCAUUCAAUCAGCUGGUCUAGCUUGCCCUUUUGGAAGGGGAGAUUCAAGGAUGAAUUCAGGGUUUGGGAGUUUCAAGUGUUCUAUUUGGGGGGAAGGUUGAGUCAAGUGAUUAUUUGCUUGAUGAUCAUUCUUAACAUCGUGAUCUCAUAUGGAAUCCCUGCUCCGAUCAUGGAUUUGUUUCUGACUACGACCAAAACUUGAAUGAUCUCUUAUUUUGAUUUGAGAUAGUGAUGUCUUUGGUGGGAUUUUAACAAGAUAGUGGAGCUAUUGUUGCACCUGAUUCCGUGUCUUUCUUUAAAUCUUAUAAAAUUCUCUUGAUCUUUUACCUUUAGCUCUCUUUCUGCAUAAUGAAAUUUAGGUGUGGUCUGAGUUCUUAUGGAUUCUUCGGUGGCAUUUCGGUUUUUGAAUUCUUUUCUUUUGUUGCUGAUUCUGCUUAGCUAUAUUUUGGGUAGUGGCUUUUCUUGGAUGUUUGUCCCUAGAAAAAAGAGAACCUUUGUUCGUAUUGAGUGCCCUGGCCGUAGAAUUGACUUUUAUGAGCUGCUGUUAUAUUUGUUUUGAUGCUUCUGCUCUUUAAUCCAAUGUAGAGAGUUGUUCUGGUCCGCGCGGACAUAUUUUUGUUCUAGAGUAAGGGUGAUGGUGAUGCUCUCUGUGGUCUCAUUAUGUGCGAUUAUUUCAAAUGUAGGACAGGGCUUGUUCGGACUUUGGAUUAACUGAGCCUUGCUUUAAGUGCUUGCAGUCUCAGGAGCUUAUAUCUUAAGAUGGCUUCCUUGUUUGUUUUUACAUGGAAGCUCGGGCUGUUAUUGUGUUUCAAAAUGACGAUAAAUUUCUUUGUUCCUGAUUGUGUAGUUGCCUGGACCGUGCAGGAGUAAUAAUGUUCGACUGAGCUGCUCUGAUUCGUGGGGUGAUGCUACUUUGCCUUUCUCUUGUUUGUCAGUUUUCUAGACAUUUUGGCUGGGGAAUUAGGAUUGGAUCUUUGUUUAUUUAUGUUGUGUGCUCAUCUGAUUAAUGAGUCUGAGGACUGCUUCUGUGGGCCUUGUGUUCAUGUCUGGUUAUGUUAUAGCUUGUUGGCCCGAGUUGGAUGAGAGCUAUAUGCAAAUGAGCAUAUGCUAGCAAAUAUCACGUGGUAUAAUAGGGUCUUGAGAUUUGUAAUGUUAUUAUAUCCGAGAAAUCAACUAGUUCAAUUUAUGAAGUGGGCGAACUGUUAUGGAAGUGUGUUUAUUGGUGGGGCAUUCCAUUGUGAGCAGUUAGUUUUUCCUUCUCCAUAAUGAGCAGGGCCGAUUAACCUGGCUGUAGGUAUGAUCAGUACCAUUGUGCAACAGUUGUUGGGUCUAAGGUUCAUUAGUUGGGAAUCUCUGUUUAUUUCCGUCAAAUCUUCUUUUUCCUUGAUUCCCUUGGUGCUUUCUGGUGCGCAUAUAUCUUUCUAAGUGCAUUCUUGCAUGGAUGGUUGGAAGCUGCAUUACACGAAAGGAUUUGAAGCUGUUUCUUGCAGUUGCUGCAUGUUUUUAUCUAUGUCCUCGCAAAUUGCAGGCAAUAGUGUCUGCCUUACCUUUAUUGUGUUUGCUUCUGGCAGCAGGUUUAUUUCAGCUACUAAGGAGGGAACAAGCCUUAGCUCUUCUCAAGGGGGAGUUUGUUCAGUGCUUUUUGGUUUAGGUUAUGAUGUAUUAUUAUGCAGUAGAUCAUUAUAAGGAUGUGAGAAACUUCUUCUUUCUCCUUUGCUAUACUCAAAUAUUCCUUUUCUGAUUAGAAGUAGCAAGCCAUUCUAUUUUGCUACAGAUAGUAGGUCGCUCAUCAAGGUUGACAUAUCCGCGGCAGGGAAAUCCAACUGAAAAAGGUCCAACAUUUCUAGUUGUUUGAAGUAUUGAUAUGCUUAUGACAUAUGUGGUUUUGACUAAUUUGUCAAGUGAUUUAUUUUUUCCACUACCAAAAUUUCAACUGUUUUUCAAGUUAAAUGCCUGUCCAAACACAACACAAGUCCUGCAACUUUUUUUCAAUUUUUUUAUGUCCAAACGUUUACUUACUUUACAUAGGGAAAGGCUUCCGUCAUACAAACACACAAUUUCAUAACUUUUUGAUCUGAUCUUUCUUGUUUUCUGGUGGUUGGUGCCCUGACAAGUUGUGAAUUCAGUUGCCAUCAGAGAAUAUAGUUCCUAAGCAGGAAUCUUUGGUAGCUGUGGCGGUUUGAAAAUCUCUGUUCUUUUAUGGUAAUUUGGGGAUGUUGAUUCAGCCUUUCUGACAAGUUGUGAAUUCAGUUUGCAUCAGGGAAUAUAGUUUCUAAGCAGCAAUCUAGCUGUGGUGGUUUGGAUAUCUCUAUCCUUAUAUGGUACUUUGUUCCAAUGGGUUUUGGCAUUAUAGUAAUGCAUUGGUGAUGAUAUAUUUUUAGUGAAAUAGCAUUUUGGUAGGAUUCUUCAGUUAUAUGUUCAUAGGAAAUGAAGGCAGUUUUGGCAUUGGCUCUUGCUGAUGCUGCAUUUAUGGUGAUUAAGUGGCUAGGGAGUCUCGUCAUGUUAGCUUGUUCAGACAUGCUGGAAAUGCUUUUAUGUCUCAGAGUUCUUCUCUGCCUUUCUGCUCAUAGCUCAUCUAUUUGGCCUUUUAUGGGGUUUCAAGUUGAUUUUUUUUGUGCAUUAUGGGAUGUAGAUUAGAUAUUUGCUAACAUUUUUGAUUAUUCAAUGUAGAGAACUAUAGUUCCACGUGGGGGAUGAAAAUGAAAAUAUUUGAUCAGAUUCUGGGAGCUUUUUGAGUUUUCUGAGUUGGCAGGUUCAGCUGUGUUUUUAUGCUUGUGCUAUCUGAUGAUCACAGAUGAUUACAUGAUGUCAGAUUGGCAUGGCUUGAUCAUGUUUUUGGUUCUUUUUUGAGGUUUUGUCGUGGAUGGAUGGGACAUAUUUGCUAUCUUGAUUCCCUGUCUUACCUUUUUCAUGUAGACUAUGGGUAUCCGGAUUAACAUUUGGUUGCUGCAAAUUUUACUGUGAUAUUCUUAGCGAUAAUAGAACAAGUUGGAUUAAUUUAUGUUUUUGGUGUUUGUGUCUGGGAAAAAAUUAGUAUGUCUGCUCAUAUUGGUAUCUUUGGCUGAAGAUAUUUGAUAUUUUCCCCUGCAAAUUGAAGCUCCCUUGAGACUGCUUGUAACAUGAAGGUUCUCAACUAGCACUGUUCUCUGUUACUCUGUCUCAUGCUUCACAUGCUUAUGUUCUUAUCUCUAUCGAGGAGGCCUCCUUUUAGGGGGACGGUGUAAGCCUAAUUUAAUAAUGUUAUGGCUGCUCUGUACUGACCGCACAGGAGCAUGAGGGACAUUGUUUCAGCUCAUUGGUUGCUGUACCUGUGUUCAACAAGUCAUGCCGCACAGGCUUGAGGAGUGUGUGUCUUGCUCUCCUUCUGUUCGAUGUGUGUUUAUUGUCCAUGCUAAAGCAGGAAGAACUGGUCAGGGCAGAUAACUUCCUGCGCUAUAUGGUUCCUUUGCUUAGUCAACAACAGUCAACAAGUUACUAGUUGUCUAGUGUGAAUAUGUCCUAGAUUCUGUUAGGAGGAAGUAAUCCCCUUUGAUUCAAGAGUUUCUUGGUAAUUCCAUGGUGUUCUAUGUUUGUCCGAGGAUUAUUGGCAGAGCUGCAUUUUGUUUUCUUUUGUUGCUUGAUAUUCAUAGUUAUGGCAUACUGGUGCAAUAUUUUGAGUGUGACCCUUGUAACUCCGCCUGUCAAGUCAGCCGGUCCCAAGCCCGGAAAAAGGAGGAGGGCAAGUGCCUAUACUGAGGAGUGUUGGCCUCAGAUCAGCUGGUCCUCAGCCUGGAAAAAGGAGGGGCAAGUGUUGAGCUAGGCUGCUGCUCUGCACUUAAAACUGUUGGUGAGUGUUUUCUUGCUAGCUUUCGGAACAAUAUGCAUAUUCUCAACCGGAUAUGCAAUUACUUAUGUUAGAGAGACCAAAGACUAGCAAUGAACUAAAGGGUUUUUAAAGCAAUGCCGUGGAUUAGUCUGCUAUGUCACUGCUACGUACAUACUUUAAGAACUGGUGUGUGAAGAUUAUGCUUCCUGCUGCUUUUGCGGGGUUAAAGGUGAAGAAAGCACAGUAGUACUUCAUCAAUAUUGGCUGGUGGUUUCCGUGUCAAAAUCCUGCCUAAAAGUGGCCGUUGCCUGUACAUCUUGGAUUGAAAAAAGUUGAAUGUCUGAUAUGUUGGAGGUCAGAUGUCACUCUGGAUUAACCCUUUCCUUCACUUAGAGUUCGGACGAAAACGAUGUAAAUGUUCCUCUUUUGGGAAUGAGUGCAUAGCGUCAGAUCUCCCUCUGGACUUACGCUGUUUGUUGAUCAGUUUUGUUUCUCCGUGAUGAUAACGUGAUCUAUGGGGUAAACUUCUCAUGGGAGGAAGUAUUUCAUAAAUGUGGAAAGUAUCAUGAACACCUAAUCCUAAUAGGUGAAUUUCUUUUAGAGAAAUCA